rnacentral:rRNA from 1 species
GAUGAACGCUGGCGGCGUGCCUAAUACAUGCAAGUCGAGCGAACAGACGAGGAGCUUGCUCCUCUGACGUUAGCGGCGGACGGGUGAGUAACACGUGGAUAACCUACCUAUAAGACUGGGAUAACUUCGGGAAACCGGAGCUAAUACCGGAUAAUAUAUUGAACCGCAUGGUUCAAUAGUGAAAGACGGUUUUGCUGUCACUUAUAGAUGAAUCCGCGCCGCAUUAGCUAGUUGGUAAGGUAACGGCUUACCAAGGCGACGAUGCGUAGCCGACCUGAGAGGGUGAUCGGCCACACUGGAACUGAGACACGGUCCAGACUCCUACGGGAGGCAGCAGUAGGGAAUCUUCCGCAAUUGGCGAAAGCCUGACGGAGCAACGCCGCGUGAGUGAUGAAGGUCUUCGGAUCGUAAAACUCUGUUAUUAGGGAAGAACAAAUGUGUAAGUAACUAUGCACGUCUUGACGGUACCUAAUCAGAAAGCCACGGCUAACUACGUG